GAUGAUCCUAGUGCAGCUACUAUUCCUUCUGAGGUUACUCCGGGUAUUGGGGCCCAAAUCCAGAUUGAUGCAUCGAGCACUGAUGCCCAGACAGAUGGAGCGACUAUGUAGACAUGACCCUUCUUUACCUCCCUCUCUAUCUUACUUUAUUUUGACUUUUAGAUAUUUUGGUUUUGUUUGCAUUUGAGGACAAAUGAUUUUAUUUGUGGUGGGGUGAGGCCCACCUUUGGUGUGAC
rnacentral:lncRNA from 1 species